CCGCGGGAUUAGAGUUUGAUCCUGGCUCAGGAUAAACGCUGGCGGCGUGCCUAACACAUGCAAGUCGAACGCGCUUUGUCUCGCCGCAAGGUGAGGGGGAGCGAGUGGCGGACGGGUGAGGAACACAUGGGUACCUCCCUUGAAGUGAGGGAUACCGGCGAGAAAUCGCCGACAAUACCGCAUAGGCUUCUUGCUUGAGAGAGCAAGAAGCAAAGUCUCGUAAGAGACGCUUUGAGAUGGGCCUGUGGCCGAUUAGCUGGCUGGUGGGGUAAUGGCUCACCAGGGCGAUGAUCGGUAGCUGGUCUGAGAGGACGAUCAGCCACACUGGGAUUGAGAACGGCCCAGACUCCUACGGGGGGCAGCAGUGAGGAAUUUUCCGCAAUGGGCGCAAGCCUGACGGAGCAACGCCGCGUGCAGGACGACGGCCUUCGGGUUGUAAACUGCUUUUCUGGGGGACGAGCGAGGACGGUACCCCAGGAAUCAGCCCCGGCUAACUACGUGCCAGCAGCCGCGGUAAUACGUAGGGGGCAAGCGUUGUCCGGAAUUAUUGGGCGUAAAGCGCACGCAGGCGGUUGCACGCGUUUCCGGUGCCAGCUCGUUGCUUAACGACGGGAGUGCCGGGAAGACGGUGCGACUUGAGGGCCUCAGAGGGACAUAGAAUUCCGGGUGGAGUGGUGAAAUGCGUAGAUAUCCGGAGGAAUACCAAAGGCGAAGGCAGUGUCCUGGGAGGUGUCUGACGCUCAGGUGCGAAAGCCAGGGGAGCGAACGGGAUUAGAUACCCCGGUAGUCCUGGCCGUAAACGAUGACCAUUAGGCGUGUGGGGUAUCGACCCCCUGCGUGCCGU
rnacentral:rRNA from 1 species